rnacentral:rRNA from 1 species
UGUCACAUAGGUGGAACGGGAGGUGGAAGACGGAGCGUGGUAACGUGAAUUGGAAUGACUGCGCGCAAGGCGUGCUCGUGCGGUGAUGUAAGGCAGAUGUGGAACGCCCGGGCUCAACCUGGGAACUGCGUUUGAGACAGCAUAACUCGAGUACGGCAGAAGGGGGUGGAAUUCCACGUGUAGCAGUGAAAUGCGUAGAGAUGUGGAGGAACACCGAUGGCGAAGGCAGCCUCCUGGGCCAGUACUGACGCUCAUGCACGAAAGCGUGGGGAGCAAACAGGAUUAGAUACCCGGGUAGUC